UACCCGCUGAACUUAAGCAUAUCAAUAAGCGGAGGAAAAGAAACCAACCGGGAUUGCCUUAGUAACGGCGAGUGAAGCGGCAAAAGCUCAAAUUUGAAAUCUGGUACCUUCGGUGCCCGAGUUGUAAUUUGGAGAGGGCAACUUUGGGGCCGUUCCUUGUCUAUGUUCCUUGGAACAGGACGUCAUAGAGGGUGAGAAUCCCGUGUGGCGAGGAGUGCGGUUCUUUGUAAAGUGCCUUCGAAGAGUCGAGUUGUUUGGGAAUGCAGCUCUAAGUGGGUGGUAAAUUCCAUCUAAAGCUAAAUAUUGGCGAGAGACCGAUAGCGAACAAGUACAGUGAUGGAAAGAUGAAAAGAACUUUGAAAAGAGAGUGAAAAAGUACGUGAAAUUGUUGAAAGGGAAGGGCAUUUGAUCAGACAUGGUGUUUUGUGCCCUCUGCUCCUUGUGGGUAGGGGAAUCUCGCAUUUCACUGGGCCAGCAUCAGUUUUGGUGGCAGGAUAAAUCCAUAGGAAUGUAGCUUGCCUCGGUAAGUAUUAUAGCCUGUGGGAAUACUGCCAGCUGGGACUGAGGACUGCGACGUAAGUCAAGGAUGCUGGCAUAAUGGUUAUAUGCCGCCCGUCUUGAAACACGGACCAAGGAGUCUAACGUCUAUGCGAGUGUUUGGGUGUAAAACCCAUACGCGUAAUGAAAGUGAACGUAGGUUGGGGCCUCGCAAG
rnacentral:rRNA from 1 species